rnacentral:lncRNA from 1 species
UUUCUAUCUGAUUCUGUUUGGUUUGUGUUUCAUCCAGAAUAGUACCUUACAUAAGCACUUACAUCCGAUUUUUGAAACAGAUUUCUUGGCAAAUAUUGGGUAUGGUUAAGAGAAUACAUUCGGUGUCAUGCCAUGCACAAGACAGCUACAUUUCCUGGCCUCUAUGGCAAUCAGGUUGGGACCAGGUUGACAAGGUUCUGGCCAUUUGACAGAGGUGGAUGUGAUAUACGCCACUUACAAACCUGUUCCCAAAAUGUCCCACACUAUGUUCCACACUCUUUCUUUACUAGUUGGGCAAUCAGAUAGAAAAGAUCUAGGAGAGAACUUCAAGAAGGCUCUGGGGAGUUAUGGAGCUACAAGAUAGAAAGAGCCUGGAUCCCUGAGUCACAGCUAGGAGGAGAUUGCCCAAGAGAGCUGCCCAACUCAUAUUCACUGUGAGGUGAGGGAGAAAUGAAUCCUUGUUGCAUUAAGCCACAGAGAUUUGGGGGGUUCUUUGCUAUAGUAGCUAGUGUUAAUUAACCUAAUACAUUUUUAAAUUUCUUAGAAUAUAAUAAUGGCUACAUAAAUGUUGAUUUUUAUAGCUUAUUGUUCUAUCCACUAAUAUUUAUUGUGUCUUACAGGUAAUAUUGUAUGUUUCCCACAACACCUUAGGUGGGUGCCCAGGCCUUGCUCUCUCUCACCAGAAGGCCUUUAUCGAUGUUGUUUUCUCUGGCUUACCUGUUCCUUCUUCCCCUCUCCACAUAGUCAACACUACUUAUCAUUAAGGUCAAAGCUCAGGCGUGCUCCUACUCAUCAAAACCCUCCCUAGCUCCCUAGACUAGAUCAGUGUUCCCUAUUACAUGAUCUCAUAAAUCCCUAAACAUCUCCUAUGGGGUACUUAUGACAGUUUGUCAUUGCAUGACUAUGUAAUUCUUUGGUGAGCAUCUCUCUUCCUCAACAUAGAAUAAGCACCAAGACUGCAGGGGCCAUCUUAUCCGAUUCGCUGUGAUAUUCCCUGGGCCUAGCCCGAUGCCUGGCUACAAGAUGUGCUCAAAACGUAUUUGACUGUACGGGUGUAUCUGCACAGGAUGGGCCUCACAGGCUUUCUGCCUCUUAGUGAGGUCAACUGUCAGUGUUAAAUCUGGUCUUUAUCUUCACAAGUUUAGAAACUUAAUUUUUCAUGGAAGCCCAGCACCUGGAACAUGAUUCCUGAUAACUACACUUAGGGGAUAUCUACUUCCUGACUGUGAGGUCCCUGGGAAAGUAAGUUAGUGAGCAUUCAGAGCACAUUUGAUGACUAAAGAAAGAGGAUGGUUUUGAGAGGAAUUCACUUCUCUUAGGCUGGAAAAUUAACCUUGCUUUCUUAAAGAGUGCAUGUUUCUUCUAGACAUAGCUUUUUUCUCCCACCAUUAGAUCCAUUAAAAUCAUGCUUAGUAAGGCCGUGGCAUAUAAUAAGAGCUCAGUAAAUAUCUGAAUACAUAUCUGUGGGUCUCACUGGUUGAAUGACUGACAAAUGGUCUUAUGCUUUGGCUCUCCAUUUCUAGACCCCAUGUAGUGAUUGCCUUUUGUUACAGCAUCACUUGUCCCUGGAUUUCUACCAUAGAAGUUUGAGAAGAACUAGUGAAUGUGAGCCAGACCUACAAGAUCAUAAAUUCCUUGCAGUUAAGAAUCAUCAUCAAAGAGAAAAAGAAAAUCAUUAUCAUCAUCAUCAGAGCCAACACUUUUCAUGUACUUAUCCAAACCAGGCACUGUGCUGAGCCCUUUACAACUGUCAUCUCAUUAAUCCUUAUAACAAUCAUAAGGUGGCAUUUUCUGACCCACCUUGGAGAUGCGCCCUUUGAGGAGCCUGCAGCCUCCUGCACCUGAAGAAAGUGGCCCACUCAUGAAAACGCCCAGGCUCCCAGUUGGGGAGAACCAUCUCCACCAGAGGGGGAUCCAGAUCCAGUGGAGAAGAAUUUUUUUUAUUGUUUUUAGAUAAACUGUCUUCAAAUAGUGCAGCACGGGCACUUCCUGCCUCGAUGGAAAUUCAGCACACUUCCUGCUGCUCACCUGCCCCAUCUGUGUUUAUCUUCUGCCUCAAUCAUGUGAAGGCCAAAUGGGUGGCAUGAGUGCAACUGGGCCAGCUGUGGCUGGGGGCAGCAACAGCUCCAUGUUUUGAGGCCAGAUGGAGGCUGCUUUGGUCUAGGAGGUGGAGGGGAGCCAGUGGCUGCUUCAGGCCUCCCUGUGUGGAGUGCUUGGAGCUGGAAGUAGAAGCAGGGCCCAACUGGGGGCUCCAUUGGAUGAAGCACACCAUCCCAUCCAAAAGCCUGCUCCCAAUGUCCUCACUGAGCUCUCUUUGUUUCUUUCUGUUUCUUCUAUAUGUAUACAUAUCAAAUAUGUGUGUGUGUGUGUGUCUAUGUAUGUGUGUGAAACAGAAAGAAGCAAAGAGUCCUUUGCACUUUAUCAAAGGUACUCUACUAAUUCCUUUACACUUUUAUCAAAGAUAUUCACUUGUCAGGGACACUAGAGCAGUGUCCAGGCUGCAUGUAACAUCAGCUGGGAAGCUUUUAUAAAUUAAAACAACUAUAAAAUAGUUGCAGGCAUUUUCAAGUUUUUAUUAAGCCUCAUAAAAACUUGAAAAUGUCUAUAAGACACCUACACUACAGGUCUCCAUGGCUCUCUGCAAAACAUGACCAAGCUCAAAAAGACACACAAGGUUAGAAGACACCACAGAUUUGGCAACAGCCCAUGAUCCUUGGGUUUAUCUCCCCUCAGAGUGGCUCCUUAAAGUGACACUGGCACUUUUCUGAAACGCUUUCCUGCAGGUUCUUGAGCACACUCUAAUGGAAGCUCUCUCUCAGAAUUAUGCACAUGAGAGUGUCAUUGUAGAAUGCUUUUUAGCAUAUCCACCACAGGUAUAAUGAAACACAGGCUACAUACUGAUAAAAUGGAAGGACCAAAUGAAACAAGCCUAUUCAUACACAUUUCUGUGUCUCUUUGCAUCUGUGGUUUUCAGACUUUAGUGUGCAUCAGAAUCGCCCAGAGGACUUGUUAAAACACAGAUUGCUAGGCCGCACCCCAGAGUUUCAGAUUCAGUAGGUCUGAGAUGAGGCCCCAGGAGCUGCAGCAAGUAAAACGGGCAGCAACAGCUACUGCGUCACCUGAGGCCCAUUUGCGACAGUCUCUGCUCUGUGUGAUAAAAAAGAUCACAUUUUCCUUUCCUCUAGGUCUGAUGUGAGGCUGGCUUGUUUUACAUUGGGCAUCUCUGAGAAAGUAUCAGGAAAAAGGCAGACAAAGCAGAAGUGCCUGAAAUGAUAUUUAUUAAUUUGGAUUCUGAGUAGCUAAAUUGAAACUUGAUUGUGCCCUUACCCCUAGCUCCUCCUGGGCCUGGAGCAAGGACAGGCUACGUCUGAGGCAGCAGGCAUUGGAAGGAGUAGGAUCGGGUUAGGGCUAGUUUUAGGGCAAAUGAGGUACCUCCAUCCUUACCGUCCAGCUAUGUAGUAACAAAUUAGCCUCUUCUAGAUGGUCUGAAGUCUAUUAUAUAAAGUUUGGCUUGUAUAAGUGUUUCUAAAAGUGUUUUAACAUGAAAAAUUUUAAACACAUGGAAACUUACGAAGAAUAGUACAAUGAACACCUAUAUAUACCCAGGAACAAAAUUCAAUUAUUAUUAAAAUUUUGCUUCUUGUUUCUUGGCUCACUACAACCUCUGCAUCCCAGGUUCAAGUGAUUCUUGUGCCUCGAGCCUCCCGAAUAGCUGAGAUCAUGGGCAUGCACCACCACAACCCUGCUAAUUUUUGUAAUUUUUUAAUAGAGACAGGGUUUCUCCAUGUUGGCUAAGCUGGUCUCAAACCCCUGGCCUCAAAUGAUCCACCCACCUCAGCCUCCCAAAGUGCUGGGGUUACAGGCGUGAGCCACUGCGCCUGGCCCAUUUGUUUCAUUUAUAUAUAUGAUCUAUAUUUUUUGCUGACAUCAUCUCCAAAAAAGUAAGGACAUCUGCACAGUCACAAUGUCAUUAUCACCUAAACAUUAACAGUAUUCCCCAAUAUUGCCUUAUAUCAUCUCUUCCUUUUAUCCCCAAAAUGUUUUAUGGAUAUUGUUUCUUUGAGUCACACACAGAACCUAGGCAAGGUCAGGGCCAGGGUGAUAUGGGUUAAAAGGACUCCAGAAAACUCAGUAAUCAAGAGUAAUAAUAUUGUAAUGCAAUAUUUCAAAAAGUCCAAUUGGCUAACUACAGCCCAUAGGCCAGCUGCGUGUUUUUGCAGGAAAAGUUUUAUGGGGCUGGGAUUAGCAUGAGAUAAGUGAGGCAGGGUUGUACAAAUGUAGG